rnacentral:rRNA from 1 species
AUUGAACGCUGGCGGCAGGCCUAACACAUGCAAGUCGAACGAGCGGCGGACGGGUGAGUAAUGUAUGGGAAUCUGCCCGAUAGAGGGGGAUAACUACUGGAAACGGUGGCUAAUACCGCAUACUAUCGGAUGAACCCAUAUGGGAUUAGCUAGUAGGUGGGGUAAAGGCUCACCUAGGCGACGAUCACUAGCUGGUCUGAGAGGAUGACCAGCCACACUGGAACUGAGACACGGCCCAGACUCCUACGGGAGGCAGUAGUGGGGAAUAUUGCACAAUGGGCGCAAGCCUGAUGCAGCCAUGCCGCGUGUAUGAAGAAGGCCUUCGGGUUGUAAAGUACUUUCAGCGGGGAGGCGUUACCCGCAGAAGAAGCACCGGCUAACUCCGUGCCAGCAGCCGCGGUAAUAC